rnacentral:lncRNA from 1 species
GAGACGGCCGAGAGUUUGAGCGCCAAGGCUCUCUCUCCCCAGGGGACUCUGCAACCUGACUAGGUGCUCCUUCCCUGAGGCCAAAGAGAUGUCAUGAUUUUGAGGGGAGCUUUUUCUGCUAUGGAUAUGAGACCGUGCUUGGAAGAAAUGAUUUAUUGCAAAUUUACUAUGAUGGACAAUCUGUCUUUCAGGGUGGUAGGAAUGUAUCAUGGUGGGAGAGUCAUGGCAGCAGGCAGCUGGAACAGGACACUAAGUAAGAACACCUUCAACUACAAGCAGAAGUCAAGGAGAACUGAAAGUGACAACUGGAACCUUGAGAGCCAAGGGAGAUUGUGGAGAGGAUGUGAGCAGAUGGCCGCUGAGGAUAGCUGACCGGGUGGGUGGGCUGGAACCUAGGCCAGGACCUGCCACCUGAGGAUUGUGCCUGCGAUGUCCAUAUGAUUGUGAACAGCUAAACAGGGAGCUCUGCUCUGUUGAAAAUCAUAAAGUUGAAAAUGAAAAGAGAUAAAACCUUAAGCACAGAA